GGUCCGAGCCGAGCCGGGCCGAGCCGGGCCGAGCCGAGCCGAGCCGGGCCGAGCCGAGCCGAGCCGAGCCGAGCCGGGCGGAGCCGAGCCGAGCAGGGGCUUCAGGACUGGAAAAGCUGGCGGCGGGCGCCCUCUACGGAUUCCGCGGAGCCCAGCGUCGCAGCCCGCUCUGGGGCGGCAGCGCGCGUCCGUGGAUUAAGGCGCGCGCAAAUCAGGGUCCACGCGUCGCGGAGUACUACUCGGCCGCGAAGAAGAUGUGGCGCAAAUCUUCUGCAGGACAACAGCCGCAGCUCGAGCCCUCGUGGCUACCUGAAGCGGUCAGGCCCCGAGACCCAAGCGAAAUGGUACGAGGCCCGCGGGGCCCUUGGCGACUCCCGGGGAGCUCUGCCGCCCAGACUCGGGGAGAAAAGGGAGGAGAAAAACUCCAGGGGGACGCAGGGACGCGGGUCCCGGGCGGCAGGGAUCCGACAGUAUAGCGGCCUGCCCGAUCUACGGGGCCGGUCCCCAGCGGCCGCGCAGAGCUCUGCUGCCCUCCUGUGGUGAAGCGGGUCGUGCGCGUGUAACACCGGGCACGACUCACCUGAGCAGGCAGGAAAGUGUGCAUGUGUGCGUGCAAAGGUGUGCGUGCAAAGGUGUGCGUUCUUCCCCGCUGAGCUUCCGAAGAAAAAUAUUCAUACUAAAAAUCAUCUCACGUUUUUAAAAACUGUUUUGCUACUAUUUGCACGAAAGGUGAUUUUGGCAGUAUUUUAUGCUGGGCGUGAUGGCACCCACGUGUAAUCCCAGCAAUUCAGGAGGCCGAGGCAGGAGGAUCACCGCGAGUCUGAGGCCAGCCUGGAAUGCAAAGUGAGACCCUGUUUUAAAAUAAAGCAGUUAAAAAUGUGAAUUCUGCUUGCAGCUCAGCUGCUGAGGAAAUUGUGUGCCCUCGCUCUGUCUGACCUGGCUGCUGAGCUGGGACUUGCUGGCUUUUCCUUGCUGCGCUGGCUGCGGCUCCUGGACACGCUCUUGGCGAUGAGCGCUGGUGUUUGGGGAGGGCCUGGUUGGAGGUGGUCCUGGGGGUCAGGACCCAGAAGGGCAUUCGCAGCGCUGUUCUCCUCUGUUCCCGGCCAGCAUGCUGCCAGUGGUUCCACCUAGGAGCCCCCGAUCCGGACGGAAGCCCUGGAGCCGUGAGCCGCUGUCCCUCCAGGCCGCAACGAUGGCGCUGACCCCGGCACAGGCUGUCUGUGUGAGCUGGAGCUGGGGCCCGGCUAGUGCACCAGGAGGGGAGCGGGCAAGGCCCUGGGCCACGGAAUACCGUGGCCGGAGAAGCCCGUGCCCAGCCACUUCCUGCCUGUCCCUGGUAGCCCAGUUUGACAGACGCCGUGAUGGCUGCUGGGCGUGCAGUAGGUGCAGGGGCAUCGGUGCGUGGCAGAGCCCGGGGGAGAUGCCCACUUGGUGGCCAGCGUGAGAAGGGGCGGCAAGUGGCAGGGCAGCACCCUGGGCCCCCUGGGCCUUGAGUCUCAGUUCUGCCCUCCAGGGCUGCCAGCUGUCAAUUCCGUGGUUAGUUCCUUUGCUACCCUUCAGUAAUAACUUGUUUUUGUUUCAUUCGUGGAUACAGGGUCUUGAUGUGUAGCCCAGCCGGCCCCAAAGUCACAGCAGUUCUCCUGCCUCAGCCUCCCGAGCGUCACACCCAGCCAACUCUUUUGCGCCAAACCCAGCCAACUCUUUUUAAAGUUCUGUGGGAUUUUUUGCUAUGGAUAUAUUUUGCUUCUCCUGGUUUUACUUUCUGUAGCUUAAUAGCUUGCAAUGUUAUUCGUAUUUACACUUGUUAUUCGUGGUUUGAUGACAGAGGAAGCUGACAGGAGGAAACGGUACGUGUGUCUCUCAGUGGCUGGGCUCGGUCCAUGGAUAAUGAGGCAGUGUCUUCAGUUCUGGGGCACUAGGAAGGCUCCAGGCCUCUGCACGCCCGGCCGCUUCUCUGUGUUUAAAUUUGGAGACAGGGCCACACCUGUGAUGCCUGACCAGGUGGCACAGACCUGUCAUCUCAGUAACACAGAAGGCUGAGGCAGGAGGUUAACACAUUAGAGGUUAGUCUGCACACCUUAGUGAGCCCCUAUCCCAAAAUAAAACAGGCCGGGACGCAUCUCGGUAGAGAACUCGCCCAGCAAGCACGAAGCCCUGGGCUCAGUCCAGGGACAACCUUUAAAAAACUGCGAUUCAGGAAAAACAGUUCCAUCCCGACUGUGUGAAGUGUGGGUGCCACCACCAGGCUGAGCUCUCAGGGUCAGGCUGGGGCGCCAGGUGGCCAGCUAGGGGCCGCCGGCAUGGGCACCAGUGUUCCUGACCCUAUGGCAACAGCAACCAAAGCAAAUGACAGAAUCAUGGAUGCCCAUAGACAAACACCCAGGGGAGCUGCUGGGUUGAGCGACCCUGUAGAUGUCUGCAAGUGGGGGGCAGAUCCUCUAGUUUUGGAUGUAAGCUUGUUUUUUUGCCUUUUUUGCAGACUAUGAAUAACUGUCUGGAUUUCUGCAGCUCUCGGCAGCAGCUGCCGGCUGUGGCCCUGUGCAUGCCAGUUCUGCUUUAGCCUCUGAGCAGCUGGAUCCCCAGGUUAGGCUUCACUGUGGAGUGCUGACCUAAAGUCUGAUGCGCAGCAGCACCCUCUUCCUGUACCCUUGAAUGGUGGCCAGCGAGCCAGGAGAGGAUGCCCCGGCCUGGAUGCCUGUCCCUGAGGCUGGGCCAUCUACUCAGGAACUGCUUCUGCUGCAUGGAUGCUUUUGGAAGCGGCCUUAGCCUGCACCCCCUAAACCUCCACCCGCCAAGUCCCAGAGCUCCCCAGGCUCCAAGAUGAGGACCACCAGGUCAUUUUUAUUCCAGAGAUUUCUGCCAAACCAGUCCUGAAGGGGCUGCAAACUGAAUGCUUCUCUCCUGACCUUAGGAAAGCGGCGUCCAGAGUAAGUAAUGAGACCAUUAGAGAAAGGAGAACCAGCAGUUCUCAGUCUUGGAACCAUGUUUAAGCAGAGUGAGUCCAACCCAGCUGUUACCGCGGGAGGAGACCAAGGAGCAGAAUGCUUUCAGCUUGGGGCCAGGACGGAGCACAGCAGUGUAAGUGACUGCCUGGCAAACUCAAGUCCUGGGUUUGAUUCCUGGUACCAAAAAUAACUGCUUCCAGCUCUGCAGGGUGCUGUGGUUCAGAGCCAGGCUCAGAAGCCCCGAGUCAACUCAUCCUAUACUAGGAAGGAAAUACACCCAAACGGGAAAGGGGGAGGGGAAGGGAGAGGAGAGGAAAGGAAAGGGUGGGGCGUUAGACUGGAGCACCUGGUUCCAUGAUGAGCCGUCUCUGUAGAAGCGGUGAAUCCCUUGGCUGGCUCUCACCCCAGAUGGGCGACCUGCUGCCCCAGCUCCCAGUCCUGAGGCUGUUGCCUCCGGGAUACCUUGGCAGCUGCUGCCGCUUGAGCUCCCGGCACCGAGGUAAACAGCUGCACCUAGUUCCUGGUGGUGACGCCUGCUUUAGGGAUUAGAAACAGGUGCCAACUGCACAGGGCACCGACGGUGGAUCCCUGCAGGAAAAAAAUCUCUCACUCCACACACUGAGGGUCACCACCACCACGUGGGGACUUGGCCGAGGGCUCCCCAGCCGCUCUGAACCCUACAGCUGUAGCUGCCCUACAGUGACACGUGUGGUAACUGUGGUAACCCAAGCUGUGUACGCAGAGAGCCUCCGGGUGCCCCCCUCUCCCGGGACCCAAGAACACAAGCACCACAGUGACAGCAUGGGUUUCAUGUGCACCGAUACCUCUUUAAUAUAGAGAGCUCUACAACAGAUACCUCUAGGAACUUUACAAUUAAAUUAGGUCCAUAAUUCCUCUAUGCUACUUUGGUCUCUAUAUUUGAACAGCACAGCAAUUAAUUCUGAAGAUACACAAUCAAACAACAGGAUCCCAUUUACAACAAGCACAUUGCAUAGCAGACUAAAGACACAUUCAACCAUGCAGUCCAGUGUCAAUACCUAAACGAUAAAUAAUGCUUUUAUUCCAAAACAUCUCUGAAAACCGGAAUAAGCUUUUAAGACUCAGUGCUCACAAACAUGCAGAAAAAGGGGUACAUUUCCAUUCUUCCUGAAGGAAUGUUACAGAAUGCCCGCUUUUUUUUAAACACAGGAUGGGUAAUUACACCAAAUUCUAGUAUUUUUCACUGCUCUGCCUGCCUUCCAGUGUCUGUCAUCAGCCUGCCCCACAGCACCAGUGUCCUGCCGGCUGGGAGGGGAAGGGACAUGGGCUCUCUCCAUGUGGCACUGGACACCACUGGGCCGAGCAACCGUCCCCAGUGGAAGAGCGACCCCCAGUGGACCAGGGUCACUAGGCCCAGCUCAGCCCAAGUCUGUCGAGGCCUGUGGCCGCAUCCUCACACUUACCUAGGCACCGUCCCCUUCUUCCCGCUUACGACACUCUCUGUGGGCUCUGGAGGAUGCAGAGACUGAGGCUGGAGGGGCCAGAGGUGGUGUGGCUGCUUCUCUGUCUUGGCCCUUCCUGGCCAGGGCUGGCAUCCAGGCCAGGCAGACGCACAUGCCUGCAGAAGGGCGACCCCAGAGCUCUGCCAGCACCAGCCUUUGGGGCUCUCAGUCGGGGCUGAAGGUGCACAGGGCUGCACCCAUGAGCAGGGAGCGCCCAGCCACAGCUAAGGCCGUGCUGCUCACCACGGAGGGUGCACGUUCCAGCAAGGACCACUGCAGUGUCUGAAAAUGCACGCUUAAAAAUCAGUCUGAAUGUGUGGCUACGCACGUUAUGGUCAAGAGUAAAAACCUCGGCUGCACGAGCGCUGCCCUGUGUGAUGUGAACACUCACAGCACGGAACGUAGCCCAGUGAUGGUGCCAAGGCUGACUGUUACUGAGCCCCAGGGGCGAGGCUACUACGUGUAACUGCUUGGAAAACUGGAAAGAAAUUUCACAGGUUAAAAAAAAUAAAUUAAAAAAAGAAAAAAAAAA